rnacentral:rRNA from 1 species
AACGAACGCUGGCGGCGUGCCUAACACAUGCAAGUCGAACGAGAAAGCGGGCUUCGGCCCGCCGGUAAAGUGGCAGACGGGUGAGUAACACGUGGGUAACCUGCCCGAAGGUGGGGGAUAACCCUCCGAAAGGAGGGCGUAAUACCGCAUGAUAUUCCAGGGAUUGCGGUCUUUGGAAUCAAAGCUAGCCUCUAUUUAUAAGCUAGCGCCAUCGGAGGGGCCCGGCGGCCCAUUAGCUAGUUGGUGAGGUAACGGCUCACCAAGGCAACGAUGGGUAGCCGGCCUGAGAGGGCGAUCGGCCACACUGGAACUGAGACACGGUCCAGACUCCUACGGGAGGCAGCAGUGAGGAAUAUUGCGCAAUAGGGGGAAACCCUGACGCAGCGACGCCGCGUGGAGGACGAAGGCCU